GUUACUUUCUUCUUUAUUUGGAUCAAUAAGGCUCCAUUUUUUUCCAGGUAAAAACCUCGCAAAGGAAAAGUUUCAAGUAAAAAAAAAUCCAUCAACCGAUUUUACCCAGCAAUUUUGUUUCAUUGUCACCCCCCCCCCCACAAUUUAUUUUUUUUGGUGGGGUGGGGGGAAUACGUUAAAUUUUAUUAAGCAAAAGGACUUGAGGAUAAAACUUCCCCAAGUAACAUGGGCAGAGCUAGGGGGCACCCCGGGGAAGUUUGUCAUCUCUUUGUAUAUUACAUAUAGGUGGCGAGGCCCAAUGGAAUACGUUAAAUUUUAUUAAGCAAAAGGACUUGAGGAUAAAACUUCCCCAAGUAACAUGGGCAGAGCUAGGGGGCACCCCGGGGAAGUUUGUCAUCUCUUUGUAUAUUACAUAUAGGUGGCGAGGCCCAAUAUUCAUGAGUUGCCCCUCCCCUUCUCAAAACACCUAUGUACUCUAAAUGCAAUGCAAGAUAUCAAUGAGUUACAAAAAUGUAAAGUGGCUGAAAUUUAGAAACUUAAGGUUAGAAACAGCAGAAAACAGCAACUAAAGUGAAAAAAAUAGCAAGGCUUAACAGAAAAGGAAGUAGGGGAAUGAAAAUAACAGUUGAGGAACAAAAUAAGAUGAGAGUAUAGGAACAAAACUAGGAGAAAAUAGCAAAUAGGUCAUGAAUGUUAUUGCCACUGGAUACCAUACAAGGAAACAAAGUCCUACCAAUACCAAGGAUUCUAUGGACUUUUUGGUAGUGAUUUCUGCACCAAGAUGAUAUCUGAGACUUUGAGUACAAAACCACAUGAUAUCCAAGACCAAAGUUGGUAUGUGCAGUGUGUAGAUAUUGGAGAAAUCUGACCUGUUAAAGG